UGGGGAAUAUUGGACAAUGGGGGGAACCCUGAUCCAGCCAUGCCGCGUGUGUGAAGAAGGCCUUAUGUUUGUAAAGCACUUUAAGCGAGGAGGAGGGUACUGGUAUUAAUACUACCAGGUACUGGACGUUACUCGCAGAAUAAGCACCGGCUAACUCUGUGCCAGCAGCCGCGGUAAUACAGAGGGUGCGAGCGUUAAUCGGAUUUACUGGGCGUAAAGCGUGCGUAGGCGGCUAAUUGAGUCGGAUGUGAAAUCCCCGUGCUUAACUUGGGAAUUGCAUUCGAUACUGGUUAGCUAGAGUGUGGGAGAGGAUGGUAGAAUUUCAGGUGUAGCGAUGAAAUGCGUAGAGAUCUGGAGGAAUACCGAUGGCGAAGGCAGCCAUCUGGCCUAACACUGACGCUGAGGUACGAAAGCAUGGGGAGCAAACAGG
rnacentral:rRNA from 1 species